CUCUGACACAGGUGCUGCAUGGCUGUCGCCAGCUCGUGUCGUGAGAUGUUGGGUUAAGUCCCGUAACGAGCGCAACCCUUGUCCUUAGUUACCAGCACGUUAUGGUGGGCACUCUAAGGAGACUGCCGGUGACAAACCGGAGGAAGGUGGGGAUGACGUCAAGUCAUCAUGGCCCUUACGGCCUGGGCUACACACGUGCUACAAUGGUCGGUACAAAGGGUUGCCAAGCCGCGAGGUGGAGCUAAUCCCAUAAAACCGAUCGUAGUCCGGAUCGCAGUCUGCAACUCGACUGCGUGAAGUCGGAAUCGCUAGUAAUCGUGAAUCAGAAUGUCACGGUGAAUACGUUCCCGGGCCUU
rnacentral:rRNA from 1 species